rnacentral:lncRNA from 1 species
GGGGGCGGAGGAGAAUAAGAGAAGAUGAUGAUCAAUUUUUUAUUUCUUUUUGUUUUUUUUUUCCUUUUCUAUUUGUAAUCAGACCGAGUGGGUUGGUUGGGGUUGAUUGAGUGGCGAAAUUUUUUGUUUUUGAUUGGAUUGUGCUUUAUAUUUAUAUUUUAAUAGAUUUUUUUAAAAGUUUUGGUAUAAAUGAGAGACACUUAUACAAAAUUGUUCCAAAAAUGUGUCAUUAUAAUCUAAUUCUAUUAUAGUGAAUCUGUAAUAUAAAUCAGGUACAAAUCACAUAUGGAUCUCAUAAUUUAAUAAAUUUUAAUAACAUUUUAUUAUUUCAAACAUUUUGUUCU